UAAUACGUAGGGUGCGAGCGUUAAUCGGAAUUACUGGGCGUAAAGCGUGCGCAGGCGGUUCGCUAAGACCGAUGUGAAAUCCCCGGGCUUAACCUGGGAACUGCAUUGGUGACUGGCGGGCUAGAGUAUGGCAGAGGGGGGUAGAAUUCCACGUGUAGCAGUGAAAUGCGUAGAGAUGUGGAGGAAUACCGAUGGCGAAGGCAGCCCCCUGGGCCAAUACUGACGCUCAUGCACGAAAGCGUGGGGAGCAAACAGGAUUAGAUACCCUGGUAGUCCACGCCCUAAACGAUGUCAACUAGUUGUUGGGGAUUCAUUUCCUUAGUAACGAAGCUAACGCGUGAAGUUGACCGCCUGGGGAGUACGGUCGCAAGGAU
rnacentral:rRNA from 1 species